rnacentral:rRNA from 1 species
AGCUACAACUGCGGCAUGUUGAAUACACCAGUUCUCGUCCGAUCACUGAAGUUAAGCGACGUUGGCGUGGUCAGUGCCCGGAUAAGUCACAGUAUGGGAGAUCACGUGUUUAUGGUUU